rnacentral:ncRNA from 1 species
ACAAUGAUACUUCCGUAAUUCGCGGUCCGGUCAUAAUGUAGGCGGGAUGGUUAGAAUCCAAUGA